rnacentral:rRNA from 1 species
AACGAACGCUGGCGGCAGGCUUAACACAUGCAAGUCGAACGGGCGUAGCAAUACGUCAGUGGCAGACGGGUGAGUAACACGUGGGAACCUUCCUAGAGGUACGGAACAACUCAGGGAAACUUGAGCUAAUACCGUAUACGCUCGUGAGAGGAAAGAUUUAUCGCCUUUAGACGGGCCCGCGUCGGAUUAGGUAGUUGGUGGGGUAACGGCCUACCAAGCCUACGAUCCGUAGCUGAUCUGAGAGGAUGAUCAGCCACACUGGGACUGAGACACGGCCCAGACUCCUACGGGAGGCAGCAGUGGGAAAUCUUGGACAAUGGGCGCAAGCCUGAUCCAGCCAUGCCGCGUGAGUGAAGAAGGCCUUAGGGUUGUAAAGCUCUUUUACCAGGGACGAUAAUGACGGUACCUGGAGAAUAAGCCCCGGCAAACUUCGUG